CACUGAACUCUCUCUUCUCACUCCGUCUCCCUCAUCCUCUCACGCAGGUGAAUCACCCUCUCUCUCCCUCUCGCUCAUAUCGUCCUCUCUCUCCCUUUCCCUCACUCGGUCUUUAUCUCCCCAAACCUGAACCCUCCCUCUUUCUUUCCCUCUUUAUUUCUGAGUUGAAAUAAAUCUGAACCCUCCCUCCUUCUUUCCCCUUCUUUCGAACCCAAUCUUGAACCCUCUUUUCCCCGUAGACCCCAAAUCUCCCUUUCUUUCUUUCCCUCAUUCUUUCCCCUUAUUUCGAACCCAAUCUUGAACCUUUCCCUGCAGACCCAAAAUCUCCCUCUCUUUCUUUCCCUCUUUCUUUCCCUCGAUUUACUGAAACAAAAGUAGGAAGGAGAAACUGUUUGAUCAUCAAUGACUGGUUUUGUUAGAACGAGAUCGAAACGGGUCACUUACCCGCUCGACGACCGGGUGAAAGAUAGACUCGUAGGAGGAUACAGCUCCGGACCUAGUGACGCCAACAAAGGAAGCGAGCACUCCGGCGACUACGACUCCCCCUGCCUCUCCAAGCUCGUCUGCGGCUGGGUUUCACGACAACGAGUCCGACUCAGAACGAGUCGAAUCGGGCUCAGAGGAUUGGCAUGAUCAACACACUGCAAGAAAUGUGUAAUGCUCCACUUGGCAUGAUCAAAGUUAAGUGAAACAGAUAAUUCAUUGGACACUCAAGUACCAUUCCUCCCUUUGGUUGAGGUUUCAGUGAAGGCUUUACUUGUCAUAUCAUUAGUAGCUCUACCUGCAGCUCCAAGUGCAGCAACACGAGUUUUGUUCUGUGCUCAUCAUCCAUACUUGGUUGGAACUGCAAAGAGAGACGCAGUUUGGAAGAGGCAACGAAGAUGUAUGCAUGCAUGUGGUUUGGAUCUCUUUCCAGAUAAGUUCUGAGAUUGUUCUCUCGUCGUUUGCUUGUAUUGAGUUUGGGCAUUAGUGAACCUAUUUCUCUUUGUAUGAGAGUCAAAUUUCUUAAUGCAGGUUCAAUCGUUGCCGAGGAUGGUUAUCAUGGAUGAGAAUGGGAAGCAGGCGCGGGUUCGUGAGACGGGUGCCUCCUUUUCCAGAUCGACCACAGGAGAGGUCAAUGCCUUGAAGGAGGAAGUGACAACCCUAAAAGGUCAACUUGCAGCCCAGGGCGAGCAGAUGAGUAUUAUUGUACGGGUCUUACAGAUUUCCGGCCUCUAAAUCCCGAUGCCAGCACCUAAUCUUGCUCCACCUUCGACCUCCCAACCACUUCGCCCAGCCGAUACCCAGUAGUCUGAUGUAUCAAACAUAGAAGACUACUUGUAGUUUUUUCUUUUUUGUUCGGACAUCUUGUAUGUACAUUUUCAUAUAUUUUAUAAUUAAAUACUUUUUUUUUUGUU